rnacentral:lncRNA from 1 species
GUCAACAAACAAAAGCAGGCGAUGGCAACUGAGAUUGAGCCCUUUACCGAAAGUAGUUCCGAACCGAUGGUGAUUCCUGCCGGUGGGACGGAGGAGGUCGAGUUGAUCCUUGGAAAACCAGACAAGACCGUGAAGAUCGGUUCGGGUCUACUAGAACCUCUUCGGACAAACCUUAUAGAACUCUUACGCUGCUAUGCGGAUAUUUUUG